AGAGAAAUUGUCAUAGAAGCAUAACCAAAACCAUGGACAUGUUGAAAAACGAUGAAUGAUGGCACCCGGUAUCUUUCUUAUGGUUAGUUGCAGCAUUAUGUUGAAAAUUUACGAUCAAUUUAUUUAAUUUUCCUGAUUUUCUUCUAUAGUUAACCGAGACAACAUUCAAGACUUUGGAUUGGAUGGCACAAACACUAUGCUUCACCCUCCCUUUUUCAAUGCUUGCUUAUCCUUUUUACAUGUUGGCAGCAUCUGUUGAAGUUUUAAGGAAGGCGCAGUUGUGAUUGAAAAAUAGGGAAGCUUUGUGAGAUGUGAAUGAGCCAUAUUGCAAUUUUAUGGGGAGAGGCGACCAUGGUGGUGGAGGUUUCUUCGUCGAUUAACUUCGUCUUUGUACCUGCUCUUGAUUCUAUUCGAUUUAGCGUUUUUUGUAGCUGGCGUUCGGUUAAUUAGGAUCGAUUGCCGGAUGUUUUUAUUAGUUGUUUUUGUGGCGUUAAAUACUGGUGCUUUUCUUUGCCGAAGGUUUGAGAUGGUUAUUUUGUGAUUAAGGUACCUUAUUCUCUUAUGAUUUAAUUGGACUUAUUGUAGUGCUUUGCUUGAUGACUCAAAGUUUUUUAAUAAAGUCUUUUAAAUGAACAAUUGUAGUUUGAGGAAAAAUGUCAAACUUUGUUUGGAGAUUUGGAAUUCAUCAGAUGUUUGUUUUUCUUAUUUGAUUAAACUUUCAUUCCAAUUGCUUUAGUCAGAUUAGAUGUCAAAAGGAAUUGAAGUUUAAAUAUUUUUUGUUUAUAAACUGUUUUAAUAGAAUGAUGUAUUUUGUUAUUUGGUUG